UCAGCCUCCCAAGUAGCUGGGACUACAGACACCUGCCAUCACGCCCAGCUAAUUUUUGUAUUUUUAUUAGAGACAGGGUUUCACCAUAUUGGCCAGGCUGGUCUUGAACUCCUGACCUUGUGAUCCGCCUGCCUUGGCCUCCCAAAGUGCUGGGAUUACAGGCGUGUGCCACCACACCUGGCCCCAAAGACAUGUUUUGAAGAGAUCCUAGUAGACAAAUCCGCAACAAAAUCUAUAAGGAACAAAUGUAAAAUGCUGAGGUUUUCACUGUCUUAGGAGCAUGUGUAUGUGCUUGUUUGCAGGUUUCAGAGAAAAUCCAUUGAUGGAAGCUUUGGGUCCAAUGAUGGCUCUGGAAAUAUGGUGGCAUCUCAUCCCAUUGCUGCCAGCACACCCGAAGGGAGCAAUUAUGGGACAAUAGAUGAGUCAAGCUCCAGUCCUGGAAGGCAGAUGUCCUCCCCCGAUGGUGGGCCACCGGGCCAGUCAGACACAGACAGCUCUGUGGAGGAGAGCGACUUCGACACCAUGCCAGACAUUGAGAGUGAUAAAAACAUCAUCCGGACCAAGAUGUUCCUUUACCUGUCAGAUUUGUCCAGGAAGGACCGGAGAAUUGUCAGCAAAAAAUAUAAAAUUUAUUUUUGGAAUAUCAUCACCAUCGCUGUGUUUUAUGCGCUGCCCGUAAUCCAGCUGGUCAUUACCUAUCAGAC
rnacentral:sRNA from 1 species